rnacentral:rRNA from 1 species
GGCGGUGUGCCUAAUACAUGCAAGUCGUACGCACUGGCCCAACUGAUUGAUGGUGCUUGCACCUGAUUGACGAUGGAUCACCAGUGAGUGGCGGACGGGUGAGUAACACGUAGGUAACCUGCCCCGGAGCGGGGGAUAACAUUUGGAAACAGAUGCUAAUACCGCAUAACAACAAAAGCCACAUGGCUUUUGUUUGAAAGAUGGCUUUGGCUAUCACUCUGGGAUGGACCUGCGGUGCAUUAGCUAGUUGGUAAGGUAACGGCUUACCAAGGCGAUGAUGCAUAGCCGAGUUGAGAGACUGAUCGGCCACAAUGGAACUGAGACACGGUCCAUACUCCUACGGGAGGCAGCAGUAGGGAAUCUUCCACAAUGGGCGCAAGCCUGAUGGAGCAACACCGCGUGAGUGAAGAAGGGUUUCGGCUCGUAAAGCUCUGUUGUUGGAGAAGAACGUGCGUGAGAGUAACUGUUCACGCAGUGACGGUAUCCAACCAGAAAGUCACGGCUAACUACGUGCCAGCAGCCGCGGUAAUACGUAGGUGGCAAGCGUUAUCCGGAUUUAUUGGGCGUAAAGCGAGCGCAGGCGGUUGCUUAGGUCUGAUGUGAAAGCCUUCGGCUUAACCGAAGAAGUGCAUCGGAAACCGGGCGACUUGAGUGCAGAAGAGGACAGUGGAACUCCAUGUGUAGCGGUGGAAUGCGUAGAUAUAUGGAAGAACACCAGUGGCGAAAGGCGGCUGUCUGGUCUGCAACUGACGCUGAGGCUCGAAAGCAUGGGUAGCGAACAGGAUUAGAUACCCUGGUAGUCCAUGCCGUAAACGAUGAGUGCUAGGUGUUGGAGGGUUUCCGCCCUUCAGUGCCGGAGCUAACGCAUUAAGCACUCCGCCUGGGGAGUACGACCGCAAGGUUGAAACUCAAAGGAAUUGACGGGGGCCCGCACAAGCGGUGGAGCAUGUGGUUUAAUUCGAAGCUACGCGAAGAACCUUACCAGGUCUUGACAUCUUGCGCUAACCUUAGAGAUAAGGCGUUCCCUUCGGGGACGCAAUGACAGGUGGUGCAUGGUCGUCGUCAGCUCGUGUCGUGAGAUGUUGGGUUAAGUCCCGCAACGAGCGCAACCCUUGUUACUAGUUGCCAGCAUUAAGUUGGGCACUCUAGUGAGACUGCCGGUGACAAACCGGAGGAAGGUGGGGACGACGUCAGAUCAUCAUGCCCCUUAUGACCUGGGCUACACACGUGCUACAAUGGACGGUACAACGAGUCGCAAGCUCGCGAGAGUAAGCUAAUCUCUUAAAGCCGUUCUCAGUUCGGACUGUAGGCUGCAACUCGCCUACACGAAGUCGGAAUCGCUAGUAAUCGCGGAUCAGCAUGCCGCGGUUGAAUACGUUCCCGGGGCCUUGUACACACCG